rnacentral:lncRNA from 1 species
UCAGGAAGAGGAGGAGCAAGUGAGGAUGGAGAUGGACUUUGCAGAAUGGAGGAGAGGCAAAGAAACGGUUAGAAACAAUCUACAUAAUGAAAAGUCACUUUUGGGAGUUGUUUUAAGGCAGAGUAUCAUAUCGCAUCAAAACUGCUCCAUAAGUCCUGCCACUCCAUGUGCAAUGCCAUGAACUUGAAGAAAUUGCUGGUAAGAGAAAGCAAAUGCUGUGACCAGGCGCAGCUGCUGCAAACCAAUGGGCUUUGGGGAACUGUGCUUCCCUUCAGAAAGGAAAGAGUAUUUAACGAUGAAAAGGAAGGUA